CCUACGGGUGGCUGCAGUGGGGAAUAUUGCGCAAUGGGGGAAACCCUGACGCAGCAACGCCGCGUGAGUGAUGAAGGCCUUCGGGUUGUAAAGCUCUGUCUUCUGGGACGAUUAUGACGGUACCAGAGGAGGAAGCCACGGCUAACUACGUGCCAGCAGCCGCGGUAAUACGUAGGUGGCAAGCGUUGUCCGGAUUUACUGGGCGUAAAGGAUGCGUAGGCGGAUAUUUAAGUGGGAUGUGAAAUACCCGGGCUCAACUUGGGUGCUGCAUUCCA
rnacentral:rRNA from 1 species